rnacentral:tRNA from 1 species
AAAUAGAUAAGCUAAAUUUCAAGCUAGUGGGUUCAUACCUCAUUUAUGGAGCAACUCCUUUAUUUA